UGCUCCAGAAUAGCUCUUGGAAACGGGUGGUAAUGCUGGAUGCUCCAACUUGACGCAUGUCUUGUUGGGAAAGUGUUUAGUGGCAUGGGAUGGGGUCGCGUCCUAUCAGCUUGUAGGCGGGGUAAUGGCCCACCUAGGCUUCGACGGGUAGCCGGCCUGAGAGGGCGGACGGCCACAUUGGGACUGAGAUACGGCCCAGACUCCUACGGGAGGCAGCAGA
rnacentral:rRNA from 1 species